rnacentral:rRNA from 1 species
AUUUACCUACGGGGGGCAGCAGUGAGGAAUAUUGGUCAAUGGGCGGAAGCCUGAACCAGCCAAGUCGCGUGAGGGAUUAAGGCCCUGCGGGUCGUAAACCUCUUUUGCCGGGGAGCAGUGGUCCGGACGCGUCCGGACCGGGAGAGUACCCGGAGAAAAAGCAUCGGCUAACUCAGUGCCAGCAGCCGCGGUAAUACGGAGGAUGCGAGCGUUAUCCGGAUUUAUUGGGUUUAAAGGGUGGGUAGGCGGGCAUUUAAGCCGGCGGUCAAAUGUCGGGGGUCAAACCAGGCCUGCCGUGUGAACUG